rnacentral:rRNA from 1 species
AUUGAACGCUGGCGGCAUGCCUUACACAUGCAAGUCGAACGGCAGCACGGGAGCAAUCCUGGUGGCGAGUGGCGAACGGGUGAGUAAAGUAUCGGAACGUGCCCAGUCGUGGGGGAUAACGUAGCGAAAGUUACGCUAAUACCGCAUACGAUCUAUGGAUGAAAGCGGGGGAUCGCAAGACCUCGCGCGAUUGGAGCGGCCGAUAUCAGAUUAGGUAGUUGGGGGGGUAAAGGCUCACCAAGCCGACGAUCUGUAGCUGGUAUGAGAGGACGACAAGCCACACUGGGACUGAGACACGACCCAGACUCCUACGGGAGGCAGCAGUGGGGAAUUUUGGACAAUGGGCGAAAGCCUGAUCCAGCCAUGCCGCGUGCAGGAUGAAGGCCUUCGGGUUGUAAACUGCUUUUGUACGGAACGAAAAGGUUUGGCCUAAUAAGCUGAGCUCAUGACGGUACCGUAAGAAUAAGCACCGGCUAACUACGUGCCAGCCGCCGCGGUAA